rnacentral:rRNA from 1 species
GACGAACGCUGGCGGCGUGCUUAACACAUGCAAGUCGAACGGAAAGGCCCUGCUUUUGUGGGGUGCUCGAGUGGCGAACGGGUGAGUAACACGUGAGUAACCUGCCCUUGACUUUGGGAUAACUUCAGGAAACUGGGGCUAAUACCGGAUAGGAGCUCCUGCUGCAUGGUGGGGGUUGGAAAGUUUCGGCGGUUGGGGAUGGACUCGCGGCUUAUCAGCUUGUUGGUGGGGUAGUGGCUUACCAAGGCUUUGACGGGUAGCCGGCCUGAGAGGGUGACCGGCCACAGUGGGACUGAGAUACGGCCCAGAAUCCUACGGGAGGCAGCAGUGGGGAAUAGUGCACAAUGGGCGGAAGCCUGAUGCAGCAACGCCGCGUGCGGGAUGACGGCCUUCGGGUUGUAAACCGCUUUCGCCUGUGACGAAGCGUGAGUGACGGUAAUGGGUAAAGAAGCACCGGCUAACUACGUG